UACGUAGGGUCCGAGCGUUGUCCGGAAUUAUUGGGCGUAAAGAGCUCGUAGGCGGUCUGUCGCGUCUGCUGUGAAAACUCAGGGCUUAACCCUGAGCUUGCAGUGGGUACGGGCAGACUAGAGUGCGGUAGGGGAGACUGGAAUUCCCGGUGUAGCGGUGAAAUGUGUAGAGAUCGGGAGGAACACCGGUGGCGAAGGCGGGACUCUGGGCCUACCCUGACGCUGAGGCGCGAAGGGCGUGGG
rnacentral:rRNA from 1 species